AUGGGAUCUCUCCCCGUCCCGAGUGUGCAGGCCUCAGUGGCUGCCACCGGCGGGGACGAUGUGCCGCUGAGGUAUCUCCGGCCAGAGGCGGCAGCAGAGGCGGUCACUGGCGAUGGCGACGGCGAGGCUCAGAUCCCCAUCAUCGACCACCAAAGGCUACUGCUGGAGUUGGACCAUGGUGGCGAGAGCCUCCAUCGUUUUCCUCAGGACUGGGGCUUCUUCCAAGUUAUUUGUUUGCAGUUGGUUAACCACAGUGUCCCGGACGAUGUGCUGGAGAGCAUGAAGGCCAACAUCCAGCAGUUCUUCCAGCUGCCCGCAGAGACGAAGAAGCGAUUCGCUCAGGAGCAAGGGCAGCUAGAAGGCUACGGUCAACUAUUCGUCGUCUCUGAGGAUCAGAAACUCGACUGGGCUGACAUGCUCUUCCUCUACACACAGCCACCUGAGAUGAGGAACGCUAAGUUCUGGCCUGACCAGCCUGCUACCUUCAGAUCGGCGCUGAAUAGAUAUUCUGGUGCGGUGAAGGAUUUAUCAGACUCCCUUUUGGCUACGAUGGCCAAGAACUUGGGACUGAAACGAGAGGCGAUCGCUGACAAAUGCAUCCAUGGAAUGCAGAAAGUCAGAAUAAACUACUACCCCCCGUGCGCACAAGCAGAGAAAGUCGUUGGCUUGUCCCCGCACUCCGAUGCUAAUCUCCUAACCCUUGUCCUCCAAGUGAAUCAUGUCCAGGGCCUGCAGAUCAAGAGGAACGGCAGCUGGCUUCCUGUGAAGCCCGUCUCGGGCGCUUUCGUCGUUAACAUCGGAGAUAUGUUUGAGGUCUUGACGAACGGGAGGUACAGGAGCAUCGAGCACCGGGCAGUCGUCGACCCCAAGGAAGAACGGCUGUCGAUCGCCGCGUUCCAGUUCCCAGACAUCCACACCAUGAUAGGUCCUCUAAAGGAGAUGACCGGACAUGAAGACGAUGCCUACAAGACGUCGGACCUUGAGAGCUUCAUGAAGAUCUUCUUCGCGACCAAGCUCGAGGGGAAGAACUUCUUGGAGCAGAUGAAGCUAAACUAG
rnacentral:rRNA from 1 species